CUGCUGUUGCCUAAAACAAAAACUGUGGGCUACUUCAAGAUUUGAUUGCAUAACAGCUUUCUUAUGUCUGGUCAGUUGACUGCUAGCUCUUGAUAUUUGUACUUUGGAAGGUGGAUGUGGUUGGCUCCUUUUUGUCACUGGAAAAUUAGAAAAAAUAGUAGCUGGGAUCAAAUGAACAGGGACCUGUUCAUAGUUGGGAAGUAGCCAAACCGAGGUUAAAACAAGUCUAGUGUGGAUGCUAUCACAGCCAAUAAACAAGAAGCUGGUUCCCACCUUGGUAAACAAGCCAAAAUUAACAUUAAGUUAAAAUAAGAGUGAAGGUAAGGGAACUAGGAUAUUAAAUUAAUUUAGGAAGUUGAAUUCAAGUCUGUAGAGGAGAACAGUUCAUUUCACAACUACUUCUGGUUCACUCCCACUAUUGUCAAAAGGAAGAUAAUGUAUUUGAGAGGCAGAGAAACCUGACACACUUGUAUUUCAUUACCUGUCCACUGCUGACAGAACAUAUGCAGUAUGGGUACAAGUAAUGGUUAACUUCAAAGCACUAAAAGCUGAUUGUCAAACAUGACCCAUCCUUUCUGCAUAUCAGUAGGCAGUUCCUGGAGCGUCCACUGGCCCAAGCCCAACUCAUCUGCGUUCCACCAGUCAUAGAGCAAUAAUUAUAAAGGGAAUAGAUAGUAUAAUCUCUCCCCAUCAUGUCCAUGAGCUUAAACAUGAGGCAAAAUCUUUCUGUGUUCACAAAGUCAGUAUUGUAUCUGCCAGUCAGUAACACCAUCCAGACUCAUGUAUGUCCAUUCCUCAAAAGCCUCCAGGUCUGGUUCCUAAUUUUCUAAUGUUACAUCUCAAAGCCCUCUCAACAUUGAGUGUUCAGCUUUUAACAAAAGCAACAGUAUUGCCUAUCUAUGCUAAUAUUAAUUUGCUUGGUGAUUGCGGGGAAAGAUUAAUGUGCAGAAUGACCUACAAAUGAGAAGUGUCUGAACAGCAUAGUCUGGACCUGGUGGCUUAUUCGUAUAAAUAAAUCAGAAGGAUCUGGCAGAGCACACAGGGUCCUUUGAGUGUUUCUAUAUAGCCUGUCUGAGCAGCAAGCCCUUAACCACACACUCAAACAACCUCUGGGAGCACUCAGUCAAUUUGGGCAACUAACAACCUGUCCUAAAACUGAGCCUUCAAGCAUUUGCCAUUCAAAAAAGGCUGCUAGCCAACUACGCCAAGAGUUCAUGGAAAUUCUCCUGCUUAUAAGAUGCCAUCUUUAGAACACCUUUUCUUUAUUUUCAGUUGUUAAGUAGACAAAGUGUUUUUUGGUUUUUUUGUUUUUUUUUUCCUUGCUUGUAGGGACUUUAAUCGGGCAAGUUUUAUGGGGCUAUUUCAAGAGAAGGCAUUUAAUUAAUUCCAGACCUUCCUCCUGCCCUGCUUUUGUUCAUCUACAUACCUGUCUGUAACAACUGAGGUAAAAAUCCUACGAGACUUCUAAGAAGCUUGGUUCAUCUUUCAUUAGAUCACAGCAGAACUGAACCAUAUUCUCUCACUGCUAGACAUUUUUUGAACUAGGCUUUUCCCAGUCUCACUGGGGUAUGUAUGUGAGCUGAAAGCUUCACAAUGCAUUAAGAUUUCAUGAGGGCCUAAUUCUGUUCUCUCAUAUACUUCCCUGAAUUUCCAGUGCUCAGUGCCUCUGCUUCAUCGUCGCUUAAGUGAGAAUACUUCUCAGAAGGGCUCCAAGAAGCCAAGCUCCAUUGAAUGGACCAUCCAAAAACUGAUGUUCUAGACAUGAAGUUUGUGAUUUUUAUCUUCAACAGACAAAAGGCUUUCCAGCUCUGGGAUUUACUCACAUGCAUCCUACCUGACAUGAGAUGAUGAACUGCAGUCACACAGUAAAGGAAUCUUCAUUCUGCAUUAAUACAAAAGGGCAUAUCUCAACCAAAACCAAUACAGUCUGCAUACGGCAAACCAGGUUUGGAUUUUACUUGAAGAUUUUGAAAACAUCAGCAUCUAUCAAAGAAGGUAUAGAUCUCUGAUUCUCUGUUGUAAGAACAAAGCGUUGUUAUGUACUGAAAAUAUAAACUCCCAAGUGAUAGAGAUUACAGUCUGGAGUCUACCAAUGCUUUUAAGCCUCUUCCAACAAGAAAUAAAAGAAGGCAAUUGUCAAGAAUCCAAACUACUGGAUACAAUUACAUCACCUGGAGCAUAGAGAUGUGAAGUUUUGAUGAUCUCAUUACCUAUUGGUAUCCAUUUGGAGUUACUCACAGUAAUACCUCACCAUGACAACUUCCUUUGUUGGCAGAAAUGAAAGUUUGGAGGAAAUUUCAUUUGAAUAUUAAUUAUUUCUUAAACGAAUUCACUUAAGAAAAGAGCUCUUACUCAUACUGAAUGGCACCCUUUGUAGUGCCUGCAGCUCUGGUGAAAGCUGAGACAUUUAAGCUCUGUCUCUGCUGAGAAGAGUGCUUCACAUGACAUGCCUUAAAGUCCUGUCUGUGCUAGCAUCUAGACCGGAGACCUAGCUGAAGCAUUCAGGCAUGUCUGCCUUGGAAACACAGGCAUCAAAGCGACAGGAAGAGGAAGCGCCUGGUUCUUACCCUGAUACGGAGUCAGGAUACAGUUAUAGUGUGCAACUGGUCCCGGCAAGAGCUUUACAGGGGUGUUACAAUAAAAUUAAGGACAGAAAGAGAGAAUCAUGAAGCCAUUUGAAGCUGCUGAGGAUUUACAAUAGCUGGGUUAUAUGAACUGGACUAGCACAGAAAUUUGUUAGAACACUGUAGAAAAUGCUCCAAGCUGACACAGGACUUGAAAAUUAUCAGGAACCUGCUGAAUUUGAAGGAACAGGAAAAAAGAAACUGCUGUCUCUUUACAUUUGCUUCUCCUGGAAAAGAGGUUGCACUCAGUGGCUAAAUCUGUCCUCUCAAGGGAGCACACAUUACUACUGCAGCAGCAGAGGUGGAGGCAGCCCAGACCCAGAAACUUCCUUCAAAUGAAUAUUUCCCAAUUGGGAAAAGCCCUGAAAACAUUAUAGACCGAGCUACAUUUUAUCCAUGGAGCUGAAGUGCGGAGACAAAGAAAGGAAUACAGUUUUGAAAAGUACAGAAUCUGAGCAGCAGCCCCAAAAUGGAAAAGAAAAUUUGAAGGUCACCUGCGUGCUCAAGCGAUGGCCAACGUACAGGAGGAUGGCGAUCAUCUGAGAGUCUACAGGCACUUGUGACAAACUAAUUUAUUCCACAUCAACAGGACUGAAGCCAAUUGAACAAAGAACCUCAGUAACAGCCUGACUUGACCAAACCUUGUCAAGAAGCAUUGAAUCUUGGGCACAAUGACAUUCUGCCUUGGAUACUGUAUAGCUGCGUGUUUGUGGAUUUCAAAAGUCAUAUGCAUCAGGGAAGUAAACUCUAAAAACUUCAGUCUUGCAAAAUUCAGGAGUUCUUAUACUGCAGACUACAGAUCAUGUAUCUUCUAAAGCCACUGUUUAACCGUUUUUAAGAUUCUCAUCAACUUUCAAAGCCUUUUGUUAGGAAGCUCUUCAGCUGACAGUAUCGUGGCUUCUGAAGGCAUCUCUCUGAAACACUGUCUGCAACAAGAACGAGAGAUGUCAGCAAAGGAAGCAGAGGGCUGGAUGUGGAACUAACUCCCUUUUGAAAGCACCAGAAUAGUUACAGAUCCUCCUGCUAUGAGACCACUUUUUGUCCAACAGACACAAGAGAAGUACAAUACUAUAAAUAUGAUAGACAAAUUCAGUGCUAACAGUAAGAUAUAAAUGUAGGGAAAAAAAAAGAUGUACCUUUGUGCAUAACUGCUGAAGUAUAUUAGAUACCAUGGAGGCCAGUUGGAUAUAGCUGCCUUAAGAGAGACCAUGGAUUAAGUUUUACCUGACAGUUUUAGAGCAGUGAAGAGAAAGAAGCUUUAAAACAGGACACGCACACCUCAGAAAAGAUUGUCAGAGCCAACAGUGAAAAAUGAGUGUAUGCAGAAAGCUUGGUUAAACUGAGCUUGCUACGAACUUUUUCAGACAACAAUGCCUCGCUUCUCCAGAAGCAUCUGCAGUAUUGCCAUCGUUACUACUGGUUACCAAUUGCCCAGGACUUUGUUAGUAGAAAAAGGAAUUAUUUUUACUCAGAACACUUUAUUCUUAUUGAGCGUCAAUAACUGAAGUGUUGCUGGGAGGGUCUCAUUGUCACCUGACUGUGCCUUUUCACAACCAGUGAGAUUACCAUCAGAAAUAAAGCUGCUCAGUCCAAGUAAUAUUCAGUAAUAAAUUGAUUAUGGACUUAACGCUAAUAUUUUACAGAAAAAUAAAUCAAUGGAGCAUCUACCAUUGCUCAAAGAGUCUCACAUUAGAAAGGCAUGCAAAAUAAUCACUAAAUGAUUACACAUGGCAACUGGGCAGGACUGUGUGAAAUCAAUUUUGUCACACAUAGGUAUUACAAAGCGCUUUACACACACCUUGAAAGCCACAGCUUGAAAAA